UACGUAGGGUGCAAGCGUUGUCCGGAAUUAUUGGGCGUAAAGAGCUCGUAGGCGGUCUGUCGCGUCGGCUGUGAAAACCCGGGGCUCAACCCCGGGCCUGCAGGUCGAUACGGGCAGACUAGAGUGCGGUAGGGGAGACUGGAAUUCCUGGUGGUAGCGGUGAAAUGCGCAGAUAUCAGGAGGAACACCGGUGGCGAAGGCGGGUCUCUGGGC
rnacentral:rRNA from 1 species